rnacentral:rRNA from 1 species
GAUGAACGCUGGCGGCGUGCCUAAUACAUGCAAGUCGAGCGAACAGAUGAGGAGCUUGCUCCUCUGACGUUAGCGGCGGACGGGUGAGUAACACGUGGAUAACCUACCUAUAAGACUGGGAUAACUUCGGGAAACCGGAGCUAAUACCGGAUAAUAUAUUGAACCGCAUGGUUCAAUAGUGAAAGACGGUUUUGCUGUCACUUAUAGAUGGAUCCGCGCCGCAUUAGCUAGUUGGUAAGGUAACGGCUUACCAAGGCAACGAUGCGUAGCCGACCUGAGAGGGUGAUCGGCCACUCUGGAACUGAGACACGGUCCAGGCUCCUACGGGAGGCAGCAGUAGGGAAUCUUCCGCAAUGGGCGAAAGCCUGACGGAGCAACGCCGCGUGAGUGAUGAAGGUCUUCGGAUCGUAAAACUCUGUUAUUAGGGAAGAACAAAUGUGUAAGUAACUAUGCACGUCUUGACGGUACCUAAUCAGAAAGCCACGGCUAACUACGU